rnacentral:lncRNA from 1 species
GGAAGGACGUCUCUGGGCUAGCAGUGUUUUCCAUCCAGCUAGGAGUCCACAAGCAAGAACCUAUAGCCACAAGCCCAUCUCUUCAGUGCAGGCUCUGGAAAAACAAAAAAAAAUUACACGAAGGAGUUUCUCAUCACAGCCACUCUGUCUGCAAUGAAGAGAAUCUUAAACUGAGAAAUUCAUGCUGUCACCAUCCAAAAUGCACGUC